GACAUUAAGGUCAAAGGAAAAAAAAAACAGAAAAUAAUGUAAUCCUACAGAGCUGCUCUUAAGAUCUUGAGAGAAAAACCACGUAGGUAACAUCAAACACUAGUUGGAAUCUUUCCAAGAAGUAAUUAUCUGUGUGCUGUUUGUGGUGGUUGAUUAUGGGAACAAACCAAGGUUUAGCCAAUUCAGCAAACAUUUAUGGAGUGCCUGCAAUGUGCAUGUCACUGUUUUAAGGCCUGUGCCUACUGUAAAGGUGACCCACACAUGAUGCCUGCCUUGCAGGACUUGGAGUUCAGCGAUAAUAAGAGAUGCAUACCUGAAAAGCCUAUUUAAGACUCUUCCGGUUCUACAAAGAAGGCUUCUUGAAAGUGGUAGCUUUGAUUACUCUUUGGAUUUAUUUACAUUUAUCCUAUAAUCAGAAGGUAUACAAAACAGACUCACACAUAUAUAAAAUUAAUAGAUUAGAUAGCAUUUAAACAAAUAUUUCAGGUAGGUACUUCAAAUGCAUUUGACAUUUAUCAAAGAAAUGGUAAGUGCUGUCAUCCGUGGGUGGCUGGAUUAACAUGUGGGACUACUUAUCACCAAUUUUGUUAGGGAUCUUAGGGAAAUUCCUGGAUCUUAUAUUCACAAGCAAUUGUAUAAAUACUUCCCACAGCUCAGAGACCUAAUAGGAUGGGGUCUUAGAGAAACAUCUUUUGAGCCACAGACUUCUUUGUUACCAGAAGGAAAAUGAAAGAAGAAAUUUAAAUACCACUUGAAGAGAGGUAAAUAAAUGAGAAAUGGGGCUGAGAGGGCGGGUAUUUUUUUAAAAAUUCAUUAAAUGGAAAAAUCCACAAAUGUUAAUUCUGGUAGAUUUCUUAGAAAUUACAUCAGAGGAGCAUGCUUGGUCUUCCCACCCUCAUUAGGCCUCAGUGACAGGUACUUGAACAACUGAGCCCCUAAUGUGCAUGCUCCCCCACCCCUGAAGCCAGUCUCUGCCCUCCUCUUCCCUCCUCUUGCCCCUGGAAGCUGAUCGCCACCAACUGGCCUCUGGGUGGAUUUGGCCAAUGGAAGCACCUGUAGAGGGAAGAGAGUGAGGUUAGGAUAUUUCUUCCUGCUGUCUCCGUGCUUCCCUGCAGAGAGUGUGAAGAAAUGACCCUGAAAAGCCUCUGGCAGAGGAUUCUUCUUUCAGGAUGGUGUCGCCUCCUCAGCAGCCCAUCCUCCUCCCCUGGACUCAAGCUCUCAUUCCAGUAACACUCCUUCCUCCUUCUCCAUCUUCAGGGGGAGGUUUGCCAGUCGGUGCUGCCCAGUUCAUGAGUGCUGCUGCUGUCCUGCCCAAGUACCCAGCUUGCAGAGUGCCAGAGUUAGAGUCCCAGGGGUGUUCUCCACAGCUGCAUGCUUGAUCCAGGCCUAUCAGAUAUAUUCCAUUGAAAGUCCUCAUUCUCAAAUUUAAAACAAAGACUUUUUGUGUACCUCAAUAGCAAUGCACACACAGUUGGCUUCACAAACAUAUUGUACAUUUCUUUUUUUCAUAUUUAUUCAACAAAUGUAUAUUGACUACCCACCGUGUGACAGGUGUUAUUUGUUGACGGAACCAGGCAUCAUCAGCAAACAAAACUGACAAAGCUUCCUGCCCUCUGUGGAAGGCAUCUGAGGAAGAGACUGGAUUUUGUAGCAACAUGUUAUUCUCAUUAUAAACUUUAUCAUUGGAAUACUAAAGCCAAAUCAUCCCCCAUCUCCUUGAUCAGGAUACCCACUUAAUCUAGGCAGCUACACAAUUGUGAGAGCCUUUGUUUUUUUCUGCUGAAACAUCCUUAAAAAGAUACCUCACAACCCAAGAUUUGGCUUUUCUUAAAUACGAUUUUUAAUUUUUUUCAUUUCUAUCUAGAGAUUUAAUUGGAAAUGGAAAAUCAUCAAUUUUCCAAUUAAAUGUCUGUUCCAAUCAACAUUAUACCUUUUAGGUUGUCAUUGUCAUUUUUAAGUUUAAGCAACUUUAAGGAUUUUGAAUCUGGCUGCCUGUAAAUUAAAGGUGAAAGUAAUCAUUGUGUUGGAUUGGAACAUUUUGUCAAUUGAGAGUGGUUUCCUUGUUCUUAGUGUAUGAAAAGUUUAUUUUUCUAAUGUAGAUUAAUAAAGGAGAUAAAGAAAAACAAAAUGAGUGAUUUAUGUGUGUGAGAAAAGAACCAUUUCCUCAAGGAUUAAAUAAAAUUCAUACCUUUUGUUUCUUUUGAAAAGUUUUUAAAAUAAAUUUUAAUGAAUGUGUCCUUUAAAUAUUCCUUUAAAAAUGUAUCCUAUUUUAAAAUGGACUCUCUGAGAGAAGGAAUUGAUACCUGUGUUUAAAAUCAAAAAUAGCAUGCAUAGAGACUGUUUUUCUAGUUGGUUGAAGCUUUUUUCCCUCUCCUUUACAUCAGUGAACCAGCAUCUUGCCCUUCAGACCCUACAGCACACUCUUGGGCUCAUGAAGUGUAUGACACAUCCUCCUUGGGGGAUCGGCCAUGUCCUCGCUCUCAUGACCACAUGAAUUCUUCUGUAUGUCUUUUCUCACAGCUGAGUACUCUCUUCCUGACCCCCUUGUGGAAUGGGGAAAGGAGGCUGUGACAUUGUGCUUGUGCAAACAAUAAUUGAGAGCUUUCCGAGUCUCCUGCAUCUUCAUAAAUGAUUUUUUGUUUUAUGCUGGGACAGUAGUUCUUUAAAUAGAAUAUUCUCCCAUGGAAAUCGCCCACAAUGCUGAGAGUACACCUUGCAAAAGGUAAGUCUAGAAUAUAGGGUGCCUCCUCAGCAUUGCCCAGAAGCUGAAGUUAGGACUCUCUAGAAUACCAAAAACAAAUUUAUAGCAGUUCAUUAAUGUAAGGAAUUAUGAAAACUGUGUGCCACCAUUAUCCAUAGAUGAAACAAGAGCCACCACGCAAGCACAGACACAAAGCCCUGAAGAUGAAGCCAUUGACAGGGCUCUCAUUUAUUCUGUAGAAACCCACUUGCCUGUUUUUGAACCAGUUUUCUUUGGAGCAUAUGUCUCACUGUGCAACCAAAGUGGUGUUUAUAUCCUAGUCACUUGGCAAAAAUUCUGUCAUUGCUUCAGGGAGAUCCAUUUUAGGCCUGAAGCAUGGAGCUGGUAAUAGAUGGGAUUUGGUACUUCUGAAGAAAAGACCCUACUGCAAAUUUAGAGAGUUAAUUUUUUCUUUUGUUCCCCAUAAUAUUGUUGCUAGAUAGAACUACCUUUUUUGACUAGAAGUUAAAUAUAGAGGCCUAAAUCAAUUAGGUAACUCCCACUCAUUCUAAAUGAGAACAUGUUUGUUUUUCUCCAACGAGAUGAGAAAUAUUUGAGGCGCUUCCUGAUAUCUCUAUCACCCACUGCAUUUUUUCACUUGAUGUAUAUUUCCCCAUGUAUUUGGGAUAAUUUUCAAAUAAUUGCCCUUUAGAAAUCUACUUGAUAUUAAAUGUAAAAAAAAAGCAAGAUGCAAAAUUAUUAUAGGAUGCAUUUACAGAAAUUACAAAAUUUCUAUAAACUAUUUAUGGAGGAAGACUUAUAGAGUAUAUGUCAACACAUUGCUUUAUUAUUGUCCUUGGUUAUGAGUAUGGUUUUUUUGAAACCUGCUUUGUACUUUGGGUGUUUUCUCACCAUUGGUACAAUUGAGGCAUUUUUCCCUCUUCUUCAACCUUGCAAAUCACACGUGAGGAUGCUCAUAGAAGUGCCUCUCAGACAGGCUGUUGUUUUGCUUUCACCAAUAAAUCAUUUAUAAUUAGAAGUAGAAAACUAUUCUUUCCAGUGCAAAUACAUCCCUUUCAAAAGCAGUUCUCUUUUUGUGAAUGAUGUCUAGUGUCUAAGAAACGAGGGUAACCUUUAUUAUAUGCAUUGCUCUAAUCGAAGCAUUGUUUUUUGCGGUGAACUCAAGGUUACAUGUUUAAGAAAAGCAUCGGGUUAAUUCCAUUAGGAAAAGUGUCUUAUUCAUAAACCUUUAGCCACUGGAAAAACACCAUUAGGAGGCCACACAAGUGUGUAUAGCUGGAUAGAAUUUGACAACUGGCAAAACAAAACAAUAGCCUACAAUUGCAGAGUGCUGUCUGUUUAAAAACCAACAUAUCUUUCACCAACAAAUACAUAUUCACCUCAACACGAGACUUUCAUGUGGUUAUUAAUAUCAAAUUUUUGAAUGUCCAAAUUUUGGAGUGUAGUCUAGCAGAGGUAAACUGAUUUGCCUAAGGUCCUUCAACUGUCAGAGGUAGAAUUAUUUUCUCUCUCCUGGCUCUAAAACCUGUCCAGAUUCUCCUGCAACACUGUCCUUCAAAAACACACUUCCGCUGACUCCAGUGCUGGUGAUGUCAUGCUUUAGCUAGUAGUUAGAGGUGACUUAACUUUAAAUAUGGAAUCUUUUUUUCCUAUUAAGCAAUGAGGUUUAGUUUGAAAAUUCUUAGAGAUGAUAAACCCCUCUCCUUUUUUUCUUCCUUCUCCUCUUUUGUCCUGAACAAUGUUCCAUAUAUAUUACUGCCAGAAACAGAUUCUUGACAUUCCUGUUAUGCUUUUCCACAUCUUGUAAUCAUUUCUACAGCUGUUAGCAUUGCCAACAAUUAUAUUUCCACUUUUAAAAAAUUGUUACAAAGAUGCAGAGAGAAAAGAGGAAAGCCAAGGAAUAAACUACAGGCAAUUAUGGGAUAUUUUUGUGAUGUGACAUUUUGGGAACUGAGGCAGCAUCACUGAUACUGCACUACUUUUUAAUAUCUAGAUUUUAAUCUUUUGUAUGAAGAUAAAAUUCACAUGCCUUAAACCUGACCACAACAUAAUAGGGCAUUUAUUUUUCUAAUUUUGAUACCAUCCACAUUUCUUAACUAUAAGAAGAAUGCUUAUGUUGUACCAGGUUAUAUGAUGUUGCCAAGAAGUAGAUGUGUACCAUUUACUAAUACAUCCUUUUGGAAAAUGCGUAUUAAUAACAUAUUAAGGAGUAAAUUGACGUUGUGCAAAGUGAGCCUGUGAGUUUAAAUGUAUGGAUUGUACACCUUGCUCUUCCUAAUUGCAGAUUUAACAGGAUUUGAUGACCUAAUGAGUUUAUUUCUGAAUGAUUUAUAUUUCUUUGUCAGUUCAAUGAUUUAGUAUUUUAAAUUUUUUUAAAUCACAUUUUAUUGAGAUAAUGCUAUUAGUGUUUCUUUCCCAUCACUUAACAAAGUUAAGUCACUCCUCUCCCACCCCACUUUUGUACCUACCAAUGUUUUUUUCACAGUUACAGGCUGAUUGGCUUGACGUGUCUUAGGAUACCACCCAAAGAGAGCUUCAUUUUAUAAAUACCAAGCUCAUUUUCCUAAAUAUUUUCAAAAAGAUAGAUUUAUCCUCAUAUAGUAAAUUCAGAUUAAUAAUUUUGGAAAGGGUCAUGUGACCAUGGUAUUACAUGGCUGUGGAAGACCCUCCAAGAUCUUGUUUUGGGAUAGAAGGACUCAGACAUCCAAACUUUUAAAUUAAUGAACUUAUUAAAUUCUAAAACUUUGUAACAGUGUUAAUUUGAGAAGUAUAAUAUUUUGCUUAAGGUCUGUUUUGCUUUGCAAAAUGCAUCUCCUUCAUUUUCAUAUUAUGUUGGAAGCUUAGCAUGAAAGAACGUGCCUCAGAGGAAACCAUAGGUAAGCAUACUUUAACAAAAGUUAGUGUCAUCAUGUUUGUGUCUUUGCCUGUGGUUUUUUAAAUGUAUAAUGUUUAACGUUGAUUUGGCUAUCAAAUUACAUUUUCUUUUGUUAAAAAAUUCUGUAAAUUAGAAAUGUACUGAAUCAUUUAUUUAGCAGACUGAAGGUGGGUAAUGUUGGCUGAACAGGUUUAAGCCACAGUAAUUUGAAAAUGUAAAUACAUAAAAUAAUGUCAUUUCUCUUCCACUCAAUGUUUCUUCACCAAAUAAAGUCCAGCCUGCUCUGAAUUUGUUGCCAGUAGGAACAAUGUUACAGUGAAUCAUGGUUUAAUAUACCUUGAAAAUGGCACAUCUGUUCUGUGAUAGCUUACCAAUUUUAGCCUCUUUAUAAAAUACGAAGAGUUUGUCAACCAGAAUAAUCUAGAACCUGGCAAUUCAAAUACCAUUCAAAGCAAAUGUUUUAUCUAAUAACUGGAACUAAAUGUUAGGCCUCAUGACAGUUCAAUAUUUACUAAAUAAGUUUAAUAACAGGGUAAGCCCUCAGUAUCCAGAGCAGAGACAAGCACACCAUAUUUACACAUACAAAUUCUGCCUUUAGCCAUCUGAAAGGGCCCCGAACUAUUGCAGCAAGCAAAGAGUCUUUGCAUUGUCCUAAAAUCCAUACAAUACUUUAUAUUUUACACAUUUUAAUAGCUAGUUUAACAAAUAACAAGUACCAUGCUUAAUUCUCUGCAUGCAUUAUUUCAACUAAUUAUUGGAAUAAUCUUAUAAAGUGGGUACUUUCGUCUCAGCUUACAGGUGAGAAAACAAAAGUUAAAUAGAUCGCCCAGGGCUCUGCUGGAACGUGUUAAGCAGGGAUUUCAGCCUGUCCAGUCAGACCCCAGAAGUUGUGUUCUUAACCAUUAGCAACACAUCAUCCCAGGCAGGCCCUACAUGAGCCUCAUAACCAAUUUUAUGCUGGAUAGUAUUAUCCCUAUUUCACAGAUGGCAAAACUGAGGUCCAGAGACUUUAAGUGACCUACCCAAAAUUACAGUCAUGAGCAGAGGCACUGGAAUGUAGGGCCUUGACACUCUACCUCACGUGGUCCUCUUUCCUGUUUUGGGUAGUUCUCCACUACCACUACUCAUUUCUGAUGCUGGAAAGGCUGUGUUUUAUACAUUUCUGUUUCUGGCUUGGAACGAAACACUCUGGGUCUCUGCUUGAUCAGUGUCCCCUCUAAACUGCACCUCACUACAGUAGGGAUGGCAUAAGAUACUUCUUUACACAGCAUCUUUUUGUUCCCACCUCACCCCCAGAGCUGUAAUAGGUAGAGCCAGCCAAAUGUCAAAGGGAUGAUUUGUCUUGUCACCACUAGUUUCCCUUUUCUCUGCCUUGUAUGUAACAGGAAUAUUCUUUAGUUCCUCCUUAUGUUCUAAAGCACCUCCCCAACCUAAAAAUAGAAGAGGAGUUGUGGGUCAUUUACACUUUAGUGUGAAUUUGCCCUUGUGACUUUGCCAAGGCUGUUGUGCCUAACCCUUUCAAUCUAACAGCAGAAUGAGAGUCUCUGGACUAUCCUGGCUCCUUCCCUGAGAAGAAUGAACUGGGAAUUGUUGGUCUAGACAUCAAGACUACCAGAGACCUAUUGCUCAGAGAUGUUUGGGCUGUACAAUUUCUGUAGAUAUGGCAUCUGGAGCAGCCUUUUCUAAGCAAUGGCAUUAUCAUUCCAGGCUCUCUCGCUCUUUCCAUCUCUCCACCAGGUGGACUCUUGCCCUCCACCCCUUCCAAUUUGUCAGUGAUUCAGAGAACAUUCUCCAUCCUUCCAAUGAUUACAUUCCUUCAUCUUGCUGGGGCGCCAAUUCAGUGAUGGAGCGGCUCUUGGGAGCAGCCUUGGCUUAUAGUGCAGCUCUCUGCUACCUUCAACAGGCUGGUAUUCGGGGUGCUUAGAUGUGACUGGUUGUACGCACGUGUGUGUAUGUGCAUGUGUGUACAGCAGUAAGAGCUUUCGAGGUAGAUACUUGAGGAAGCCUCAGACAUCUAGCCCCAUUACUGGGGCAAUGUCUUACUUGGGUUUUUCCAGAAACAGACCUGGAGACCAGGAUUCAAGUGCCAGUGGUAUAUUUGGGAUGUGAACCCUGCAAUGCUGGUAGGAGAGUGGAGAAGUGAGGCAAGGAAAGGAAGGCCGUCAAGGGGCGUGUUAGGAGGUCAUUCACCACCGCAGGUAGCCCGCUGGGGACCUCUGGGAGCAAGUGUGGCGCACAAGCCUCAGCAUUACUGCCCUGUGCCUUGAGGAGUAAGGGAUAAGGAUUUUCCCCACCAGUUCCCUGUAGUCCUUGGUGAGAGCUUCUGGGGUGGAGGUUAAGGUCUUUAGGUCAGAGAAAUUUUCUUUAGUUUCGGAAAAAUCUUUCAGGCCGAGGUCCAGACACUCACUGGAACACACUGAAGUGGUUAGGUCCAAGGGCUGUAGGCAGAGCUCCCAUAUCCAUCUGCAGAGGUGUUUCAGGUGGAAGGAGUGGAGACAGCCUUCUCUGCUCCACACUGUCUUCAGCAAGGGUUUCUGUAUCUGUGCAUUGAGGAUUAAAUUAUUCACAUGGUCAGAGAAGCCCAUCACCACUGAUAGUUAUUGUAGGUAUGGAAAACUAACGACUAAGAAGGGAGAAAAAUAUACCAAGCAGUUGGCUUGGCUGAACACAAGUAAAGACUCUUACAGUCACUGGUGUGAACUGCUUAUUAUCAAUGUCUGAUUACAGUGCUGCAUACUAAUGAUUAUGCAUGUCAUUAAAUGUGUCAGAUUAACUUUGUUAUAAAAUUUAUGACAACAUUAAAUUUUAUUCACAUGCUCAGCCUUCAUAAUUUAUUGCUUAUGUAGCAUGGUUUUAACUUCAGAAAAACCUCCAAGACAGUGUUGUCUUGAUGACUACACUGCUUAUCCGUGAGUCUAGUUUUCCUGUUCAUUUGAAAUGUUCACAUUACAUUCAGCUCUGUCUCAAGCACUGAGACAGAGCUGGAAUCAGUGCCCAGCGAUUCCACUUGCCGAGUGAUUGA
rnacentral:lncRNA from 1 species